GACGAACGCUGGCGGCAUGCCUAACACAUGCCAGUCGAACGAGACCUUCGGGUCUAGUGGCGCACGGGUGCGUAACGCGUGGGAACCUGCCCUUAGGUUCGGAAUAACUCCCCGAAAGGGGUGCUAAUACCGGAUAAUGUCUUCGGACCAAAGAUUUAUCGCCUUUGGAUGGGCCCGCGUUGGAUUAGCUAGUUGGUAGGGUAAAAGCCUACCAAGGCGACGAUCCAUAGCUGGUCUGAGAGGAUGAUCAGCCACACUGGGACUGAGACACGGCCCAGACUCCUACGGGAGGCAGCAGUGGGGAAUAUUGGACAAUGGGCGAAAGCCUGAUCCAGCAAUGCCGCGUGAGUGAUGAAGGCCUUAGGGUUGUAAAGCUCUUUUACCCGGGAUGAUAAUGACAGUACCGGGAGAAUAAGCUCCGGCUAACUCCGUG
rnacentral:rRNA from 1 species